AGCCUGCGGGAGACAAGGAAAAGGGAGAGGUGUCGGCACGGUCUGUCUGCGGUCACCUUAGGCUCCUGUGGCGUGUCGGGCACUGUGCCUGCCACAACGCUGGAUUCUCUUUGUUUUGAGAGCGAGCGUGUAUGCGGGCACCGAUCAGGGGAGGGGAAGAGGGGGAGAGAGAGAGUCUUAAGCAGACUCCAAGUUCAGCGUGGAGCCCCACCCGGGGCUGGAUCUCACGACCCUGAGGUCAUGACCCGAGCCAAAGUCAAGAGGCGGGCGCUUCACCGAAUGAGCCACCCGGGCACCCCGGCACUGGAUUCUUGAACCAUCUUGUGCGUUCGAAGGUGUGGUAGAUUAGACGGCUGUUCCAAAUAUUCACUGCCUCCCUUCCCCUCUGCCUCCACAGGGGGAGUAUACAUCCCCGCAUCUUGACUUUGGGCUUGACCGCAUAACUUGCUUUGGCCAAUGAAGUGUUAGCAGAGAAGGCAUAAUCGGAGCCUUGAAAAGAGCGUGUGUGGCUGGCCUCGACCUCUUUAUACCUAUGACAUUGCCGUGAGGAGAACGUGUUCAGCCUAACCUCCGGUCCCAGGAGGAGUGACACGCGUGUGGAGCAGCACUGCUCCGGCCAAGCCCAGUGUAGCUCACCUGACCCCCAGGUUCAGAACCAAGAUCAUCAGAACCACCAGUCAAUGCAGGGACGUCUGAGCUGGCAGGUUUUUGCAAGAACCAUGCUAGUGGGGGAAGGAAGAGCAUGGAGUCUCUACCGUUGGAUGAGAGGAAAUCCACGCUCCCCGUGUGGCCUCCACCAACAGCACCCUGGCAGGGAGAGUGAGAGACACAGCAGAACCAUGGAGUCUUCAAGGCUUUUGUGGAACAAAGGCAGAGAACUUCUGGUCCAGCCCCAGAGUAAUGGAGAGGACACAAGCUGCUGCCUUCUUAGCUGGGUUUUGCCUGUGCUCUGGUCAGCCCUUUUAAUCUCCAGGAGAGGAUCUCUGCAAGCCCAGAACCCUACGGCCAAGAAAUCUGCUUAAACGUCAAUGUUUCCCUGUCUUUUCAAACUUAAGUACCCGCCGAUAAAGAAGAGAAACUCUUUAAUGCUCCAUACUCAACUGUAAAGUCCAGUAUCCCCUUCUUCCAAGAAUCCCCUAUUCGUCAUGAUUCUCUUUACAAUGUCUACCCCCAAGAUUGAAGGAUUUCAUCAACCUUUACCUCCUGAAGUUGGUAUUUUAUACCUGCAUCUGCAUAUGUAGAAUCAUACUGCUGCAUAUACUUUUUCAAAAACAUGUGCCCCCUCCUGGAAAUUCCCUACCCAGCCCCACCAGCUAAGAACUACUUUGCUAUUAGGUUGAAUCACAUUAAGUUGCUGGUACUUGACCAAUUCUGACCAGUGUCCCCUGGUUCUUCUGUGGGAACCAACUAUCCUAACCACAUGGACAGUGUCCAUACCACUGGACGGAUAGUUCCGAGGCUGCUCAGAAGAGAAAACCUGUGUCCUCACAUGCCCAUAGCAGGAGUUCUGACAUCUCUCUAGGGGGUAAGAAGAGAAAAAAAAGGACACAGAAAGAGCCAGGAGGAGGGAGAGUUAAUUCAUCCAUAAAUGUCAGGAGAGGGAAAGAACUGAGAAAGGAAAGGAAGGGACAAAAAAGGGCUUAAGAAGGGAAUGCAGAGGCCGAUGAGCAGGGUGUCUCACUGGGGAGCUGGAGAGGCGGCCCUGAGGGCUUCAGCUCAGAUCUGGGUCAGGGAACUGGAGAGGGACUCAGGCUGGCACAACAGGAGGGAUGUGAGCAGGAGAACAGCUGGGGGUGGGGGUGGGGCGGCAGGAGUGCACUCACACGCAGGCAGCUCCUAGUUCUGACCAGCGGGAGAGCCUGGGAGCAGUGACGGCACAGCUGGCACUCAGGUGGCACUCAGGUAUUGAUUCCUAGUAUCAUCCUCUACUAAGGAACCUGGGCUCUGUGAAAAAUAACUGCGUCCAGGGCUGGGGCAGGGAAAGUACAAGAUGAGCUUGGAAUAUCUCGUAGUGCCAGAAUGUAAGGAAGUUCUCAAAAAAUGCUGAGGACAUAUCAAAAAGGCACAAGGUGGCCCCAGCGGCUAGAUCUGGGACCAUGUAACAAAAAGCAAUAGGUAUUGGGGCGCCUGGGUGGCUCAGUUAAGCGUCCGACUACGGCUCAGGUCAUGAUCUCGCGGUCUGUGAGUCCG